GCCGAAGUGGCGGAAUGGCAGACGCGGCGGACUUAAAAUCCGCUGCCCGCAAGGGCGUGUGAGUUCGAAUCUCACCUUCGGCACCA
rnacentral:tRNA from 1 species